rnacentral:RNase_P_RNA from 1 species
GGAGUAGACCAGGUAAUCGCGUUUGCAUUUAUAUGCAGAUGAGGAAAGUCCGAACAUUGCAGAGCACUUCGCUGGGUAACACCCAGGAGGAGCAAUCCUAUGGAAAGUGCAACAGAAAAUACACAGCCGCUGUUAACGGUAAUGGUGAAAUGGUGAGGUAAAAGCUUACCAGAGAAUAGGAGACUAUUCUGCUUUGUAAACCCCGGAGAAUGCAAGACCAAAUAGAAGGGGAGAAGUUGCUCGCUUCAUAUUUACCCUUGGGUAGGUCGCUUGAGACUUUCUGUAAAGAAAGUCCCAGAUAAAUGAUUACCAAAUACAGAAUUCGGCUUAUGGUCUGCUCCCUAU